UCAAAGAACCUGCAACCAGCCAUAAAUCAAAGACUACAGUAUGACAUACCCAACAGAGUGACAUCGGGAAAUCUUCUCAAGACUCACAUCUGAACUGUCUGACCUAGGUUUGAACUCAACACAACAGAAAAGGCUUGUAUUCAGCUUUGAAAACAUGAGCUGAGACAGUUUACGAGUGCAGUACCAUUCAGAAAAGGACAGAGGAAAUGCUCUGAGGGAAAAAGAACGCUGCGCUCCACCCUCAGCUAUUCAUGUCCCCUUGUUUGGAUACUGUGAGGAGAUGUGAUGAA
ensembl:lncRNA